ACACACUAUCAUCAACUGAAUCCAUAGGUUAAUGAGGCGAACCGGGGGAACGGAAACCUCUAAGUAACCCGAGGAAAAGAAAUCAACCGAGAUUCCCCCAGUAGCGGCGAGCGAACGGGGAGGAGCCCAGAGCCUGAAUCAGUGUGUGUGUUAGUGGAAGCGUCUGGAAAGGCGCGCGAUACAGGGUGACAGCCCCGUACACAAAAGCACACAGGUUGUGAGCUCGAUGAGUAGGGCGGGACACGUGGUAUCCUGUCUGAAUAUGGGGGGACCAUCCUCCAAGGCUAAAUACUCCUGACUGACCGAUAGUGAACCAGCACCGUGAGAGAAAGGCGAAAAGAACCCCGGCGAGGGGAGUGAAAAAGAACCUGAAACCGUGUACGUACAAGCAGUGGGAGCCUCUUAAUGGGGUGACUGCGUACCUUUUGCAUAAUGGGUCAGCGACUUAUAUUCUGUAGCAAGGUUAACCGAAUAGGGGAGCCGAAGGGAAACCGAGUCUUAACUGGGCGUUAAGUUGCAGGGUAUAGACCCGAAACCCGGUGAUCUAGCCAUGGGCAGGUUGAAGGUUGGGUAACACUAACUGGAGGACCGAACCGACUAAUGUUGAAAAAUUAGCGGAUGACUUGUGGCUGGGGGUGAAAGGCCAAUCAAACCCGGAGAUAGCUGGUUCUCCCCGAAAGCUAUUUAGGUAGCGCCUCGUGAAUUCAUCUCCGGGGGUAGAGCACUGUUUCGGCAAGGGGGUCAUCCCGACUUACCAACCCGAUGCAAACUGCGAAUACCGGAGAAUGUUAUCACGGGAGACACACGGCGGGUGCUAACGUCCGUCGUGAAGAGGGAAACAACCCAGACCGCCAGCUAAGGUCCCAAAGUCAUGGUUAAGUGGGAAACGAUGUGGGAAGGCCCAGACAGCCAGGAUGUUGGCUUAGAAGCAGCCAUCAUUUAAAGAAAGCGUAAUAGCUCACUGGUCGAGUCGGCCUGCGCGGAAGAUGUAACGGGGCUAAACCAUGCACCGAAGCUGCGGCAGCGACGCUUAUGCGUUGUUGGGUAGGGGAGCGUUCUGUAAGCCUGUGAAGGUGUGCUGUGAGGCAUGCUGGAGGUAUCAGAAGUGCGAAUGCUGACAUAAGUAACGAUAAAGCGGGUGAAAAGCCCGCUCGCCGGAAGACCAAGGGUUCCUGUCCAACGUUAAUCGGGGCAGGGUGAGUCGACCCCUAAGGCGAGGCCGAAAGGCGUAGUCGAUGGGAAACAGGUUAAUAUUCCUGUACUUGGUGUUACUGCGAAGGGGGGACGGAGAAGGCUAUGUUGGCCGGGCGACGGUUGUCCCGGUUUAAGCGUGUAGGCUGGUUUUCCAGGCAAAUCCGGAAAACCAAGGCUGAGGCGUGAUGACGAGGCACUACGGUGCUGAAGCAACAAAUGCCCUGCUUCCAGGAAAAGCCUCUAAGCAUCAGGUAACAUCAAAUCGUACCCCAAACCGACACAGGUGGUCAGGUAGAGAAUACCAAGGCGCUUGAGAGAACUCGGGUGAAGGAACUAGGCAAAAUGGUGCCGUAACUUCGGGAGAAGGCACGCUGAUAUGUAGGUGAAGCGACUUGCUCGUGGAGCUGAAAUCAGUCGAAGAUACCAGCUGGCUGCAACUGUUUAUUAAAAACACAGCACUGUGCAAACACGAAAGUGGACGUAUACGGUGUGACGCCUGCCCGGUGCCGGAAGGUUAAUUGAUGGGGUUAGCGGCAACGCGAAGCUCUUGAUCGAAGCCCCGGUAAACGGCGGCCGUAACUAUAACGGUCCUAAGGUAGCGAAAUUCCUUGUCGGGUAAGUUCCGACCUG
rnacentral:rRNA from 1 species